CCUACGGGUGGCAGCAGUGAGGAAUAUUGGUCAAUGGACGGAAGUCUGAACCAGCCAAGUAGCGUGCAGGAUGACGGCCCUCUGGGUUGUAAACUGCUUUUAGUUGGGAAUAAAAAGAGGGACGUGUCCCUCAUUGUAUGUACCUUCAGAAAAAGGACCGGCUAAUUCCGUGCCAGCAGCCGCGGUAAUACGGAAGGUCCAGGCGUUAUCCGGAUUUAUUGGGUUUAAAGGGAGCGUAGGCGGAUUAUUAAGUCAGUGGUGAAAGACGGUGGCUCAACCAUCGUUAGCCAUUGAAACUGGUAGUCUUGAGUGCAGACAGGGAUGCUGGAACUCGUGGUGUAGCGGUGAAAUGCUUAGAUAUCACGAUGAACUCCGAUCGCGAAGGCAGGUGUCCGGGCUGCAACUGACGCUGAGGCUCGAAAGUGUGGGUAUCAAACAGGAUUAGAUACCCCUGUAGUC
rnacentral:rRNA from 1 species